AUUGAACGCUGGCGGCAUGCCUUACACAUGCAAGUCGAACGGCAGCACGGACUUCGGUCUGGUGGCGAGUGGCGAACGGGUGAGUAAUAUAUCGGAACAUACCUUGUAGUGGGGGAUAACUAUCCGAAAGGAUAGCUAAUACCGCAUACGCUCUAAGGAGGAAAGUGGGGGAUCUUCGGGCCUCAUGCUAUAAGAGUGGCCGAUAUCUGAUUAGCUAGUUGGUGAGGUAAAGGCUCACCAAGGCGACGAGCAGUAGCUGUUCUGAGAGGACGACCAGCCACACUGGAACUGAGACACGGUCCAGACUCCUACGGGAGGCAGCAGUGGGGAAUUUUGGACAAUGGGGUCAACCCUGAUCCAGCAAUGCCGCGUGAGUGAAGAAGGCCUUCGGGUUGUAAAGCUCUUUUGUCAGGGAAGAAACGGUUGUGGCUAAUAUCCAUGGCUAAUGACGGUACCUGAAGAAUAAGCACCGGCUAACUACGUGCCAGCCGCCGCAGUAACAC
rnacentral:rRNA from 1 species